GUGCCACCUCUGUGUUUCACAGUUGCCAUCAUGUUUGCUACUUCAGAACUUGAUGUUCUCACUUCGUGUGCUGGAAGGAAGACUGAACAUUCAUUAAGUUAGAACAAUGUCUUUUUUGCUGAGUUGUCAUAUUAACAUAGUACCGGCGUUUGACAUUGUAAGAGUGCAUUGAACUAUUCUUCAUGUCUCAUGAAACAUAUGCAUAGUUUAUUGCAUGGUUGGACAGACACUCAUUUUCUUGCACUUCAGCGACUACAACGUCCAGAGCUUCAACAGAUGGAUGCAUGAAGCAGCCAGGCAGCACAACUGUAAUAACAUAAGCUUUCUAAUUGGUGAUGUUUCAUCCCCUGAGCGUGCCUUCCAGGUCAUUUACUCUUACUGCAUUCUCAUCAUUUGUUUAAGUAUUCUACAACUAAUGCAUUGAUUAGUAUUCAUGUGAUACUGAGGAAAGUUAUGAUCCUCUCCUCAUGUAUAUCUGAUUUAGGGUGCCUUUAUUUUUUAUGCAGGUACAGUCCGUUCAGUCCUCAUGAAGGUUAUAUAAAGAGGACACGAACUACACAGUGAGUUGGCAUCAGCUUCUUUAUCUGUAUGAUUCUUUGAUCAAGAGAGGCUAUGUAGCUUAAAGAGAAGACAACCUGACAACUCCUUGGCGUUGCUUAUUUUGAACAUGAGGUCGUCUUAUCUAAAUUAACAUUUUCUAUCCAGUCUUCAAUUAUUCACACUGCAAUAAUAGGUAACUGAAUGUUCCUCCCAUUUGGAGUCUUUAUUUGUAGUAGUAAGGAACCCAACAGCUCCUCACUUUGACGGUGGCCUCCGGCCCUGCAAGUGAUCUGCCACCGCUGGGUGAGCGCUAGACGACUAACAGUGCUGAUGUCUGCUCCAGAUUAGGGAGCAUGGCAUCUCCUGGAAGCUGCCCUUCUGCCACCCAAAUAACGACCAGAAUAUGAACGAUGCAGUCAGCAAGGUGGUGCGCGGAUGACCGGUCUAGCAGACGAAGCCCACAGUAGGAGCUGGUACCUUUCCCAUUCUAUUGCAAUAUGCAAGGAAUAGUUUGUUUUUUUCAUAACCACCGAUUCACAUUGGUUCUAAGUAUGAAUUCGCUCUAUUUUUGGUUUUUUUAGCUAACACGAUGCAGCCAUCAGUAAGUUCUAGCUUAUAACGACGCUAAUUAUUAAAAGAGCUAUUAGUUGUUUAGAUGAGAUGUACACUUAGGAUAAGUUGAUAUUGCAGGGUUCCUUGCCAGCCAAUCCAGUGGAGCAGUUCAAAGAGAAACUGAAGGAGGGUUUGUCUACAGGCUCGAGCCAUUCACGGUUGUUGCUGCCUGGUCCAAACACAGGACAGCAAACCACCUCUAUAAGAUUAGAAUUAGUCAGAACACAAAGGUCAAUGAUGUUGUUCCGGUGCCUGGAAACUUCCAUUUAUACGCAUAUGACACAAAGCCAUUUGAUUAUGUGCACUGCCCGAGGGUAAAGAUGCAACUCUGCUUGCCAAUGCUUGGCUUGCAUAUGUAUUCUAUUUGACAGUGGUUCUAUGAAUUUGAUUUGAUCUUCAUACUUUAAAGCUUAUCAUUGGAUUUUGAGUGUACAAGCGAUAGCCGUAGGUAAGGGAAAUAUUUUCAUGUCUCAAUGCUACCUAGCAUAGGCAGUUUAUCUGGUUCUCUAAUAUAUCUGCGGCAUAAAAAAGUAGAAUGCAACUUCUUUGUUUUAUUGUUUUCUCAUCAGUGAUGUGCGGAUGAUCCAUCCUGAGCACUUU